UGGGGAAUUUUGGACAAUGGGGGCAACCCUGAUCCAGCAAUGCCGCGUGUGUGAAGAAGGCCUUCGGGUUGUAAAGCACUUUUGUCAGGAACGAAACGCGCUGGGCUAAUAUCCCGGCGUAAUGACGGUACCUGAAGAAUAAGCACCGGCUAACUACGUGCCAGCAGCCGCGGUAAUACGUAGGGUGCAAGCGUUAAUCGGAAUUACUGGGCGUAAAGCGUGCGCAGGCGGUUGUGCAAGACAGAUGUGAAAUCCCCGGGCUUAACCUGGGAAUUGCAUUUGUGACUGCACGGCUAGAGUGUGUCAGAGGGAGGUAGAAUUCCACGUGUAGCAGUGAAAUGCGUAGAUAUGUGGAGGAAUACCGAUGGCGAAGGCAGCCUCCUGGGAUAACACUGACGCUCAUGCACGAAAGCGUGGGGAGCAAACAGGAUUAGAUACCCUGGUAGUCCACGCCCUAAACGAUGUCUACUAGUUGUCGGGUCUUAAUUGACUUGGUAACGCAGCUAACGCGUGAAGUAGACCGCCUGGGGAGUACGGUCGCAAGAUUAA
rnacentral:rRNA from 1 species